GAAGUGCCUGAGACAGUCGCUCAUUAAUAUAUUAUUUUUGAGAGGAAAGUCCGGACACCAAAAGGCAGCAUCGCCGCAUGAAAAUGCGGGCGGCUGGUAGCGAAAGCUCCAGUUGACGGAAAGUGUCGCAGAAAAUAUACCGCCUGAUUUGGCAUUUAGUUGAAUAAGGUAAGGGUGAAAUGGCGAGUUAAGAGCUCACCGUCCCAAGGGUAACUGAGGGUGCAUGACAAACCCCGUGCGGUGCAAGACAGAACAGGGAAAACGGGUUGCCUGCCCGGCCUCUUACGAGAUGAUCCCGGGUAAUAGUCGCAGCAUGGUUCGCCCAGCUCCUGUGUAACAGGAAGAUAAAUGGCUGUCACCUGGUUAGUCUAUGACUAUUCAGGAUACAGAAUCCGGCUUAUGACGGUACUUCCCAC
rnacentral:RNase_P_RNA from 2 species